AACGAACGCUGGCGGCAUGCCUAACACAUGCAAGUCGAACGAGACCUUCGGGUCUAGUGGCGCACGGGUGCGUAACGCGUGGGAACCUGCCCUUAGGUUCGGAAUAACUCCCCGAAAGGGGUGCUAAUACCGGAUAAUGUCUUAGGACCAAAGAUUUAUCGCCUUUGGAUGGGGCCGCGUUGGAUUAGCUAGUUGGUAGGGUAAAAGCCUACCAAGGCGACGAUGCAUAGCUGGUCUGAGAGGAUGAUCAGCCACACUGGGACUGAGACACGGCCCAGACUGCUACGGGAGGGAGCAGUGGGUAAUAUUGGACAAUGGGCGAAAGCCUGAUCCAGCAAUGCCGCGUGAGUGAUGAAGGCCUUAGGGUUGUAAAGCUCUUUUACCCGGGAUGAUAAUGACAGUACCGGGAGAAUAAGCUCCGGCUAACUCCGUG
rnacentral:rRNA from 1 species